CCGGGAGUAGAUCAGUACGGCCAGAGCGCCUCUCUGCAAAAGAGGAAGCCGGGAGUUCAAAUUUCAUCUCCCGCU
rnacentral:tRNA from 1 species